rnacentral:rRNA from 1 species
UAACAUGUGUGCGAGUCGAUGGGACUCGAGUAAGCCCGGAGGCGGAGUGAAGGCAGUGGGGCCGGGUCCGACGAGGCCCGGCCGACGAUUGACUGGGAUCCCGGACUCAGCAGAACGGUCCGGGCGCACCAGCGGCCCGCCCUACCCCUUAUGCGGGUUUGGCGGAGUCGGAGCACACACGUUGGGACCCGAAAGAUGGUGAACUAUGCCCGGGCAGGACGAGGCCAGAGGAAACUCUGGUGGAGGUCCGAAGAGAUUCUGACGUGCAAAUCGAUCUUCAGACCCAUGUAUAGGGGCGAAAGACUAAUCGAACCAUCUA